rnacentral:rRNA from 1 species
GAUGAACGCUGGCGGCGUGCCUAAUACAUGCAAGUCGAGCGAACAGACGAGGAGCUUGCUCCUCUGACGUUAGCGGCGGACGGGUGAGUAACACGUGGAUAACCUACCUAUAAGACUGGGAUAACUUCGGGAAACCGGAGCGAAUACCGGAUAAUAUAUUGAACCGCAUGGUUCAAUAGUGAAAGACGGUUUUGCUGUCACUUAUAGAUGGAUCCGCGCCGCAUUAGCUAUUUGGUAAGGUAACGGCUUACCAAGGCAACGAUGCGUAGCCGACCUGAGAGGGUGAUCGGCCACACUGGAACUGAGACACGGUCCAGCCUCCUAGGGGAGGAAGCAGUGGGGAAUCUUCCGCAAUGGGCGAAAGCCUGACGGAGAAACGCCGCGUGAGUGAUGAAGGUCUUCGGAUCGUAAAACUCUGUUAUUAGGGAAGAACAAAUGUGUAAGUAACUAUGCACGGCUUGACGGUACCUAAUCAGAAAGCCACGGCUAACUACGUG